rnacentral:rRNA from 1 species
UGGGGAAUUUUGGACAAUGGGCGAAAGCCUGAUCCAGCCAUGCCGCGUGAGUGAAGAAGGCCUUCGGGUUGUAAAGCUCUUUUAGUCGGAAAGAAAGAGUUGCAACGAAUAAUUGUGAUUUAUGACGGUACCGACAGAAAAAGCACCGGCUAACUACGUGCCAGCAGCCGCGGUAAUACGUAGGGUGCGAGCGUUAAUCGGAAUUACUGGGCGUAAAGGGUGCGCAGGCGGUCUUGCAAGUCAGAUGUGAAAGCCCCGGGCUUAACCUGGGAAUUGCGUUUGAAACUACAAGGCUAGAGUGCAGCAGAGGGGAGUGGAAUUCCAUGUGUAGCAGUGAAAUGCGUAGAGAUGUGGAAGAACACCGAUGGCGAAGGCAGCUCCCUGGGUUGACACUGACGCUCAUGCACGAAAGCGUGGGGAGCAAACA